AGUUUACAUGAUGAUUGGCUAAAUAUGUUCAACUGCUCUGAAUAGUGAGUGACGAUUGCCUUUCUGAUCGACA
rnacentral:snoRNA from 1 species